GUCGAGCGGGGAAAGGUAGCUUGCUACCUGACCUAGCGGCGGACGGGUGAGUAAUGCUUAGGAAUCUGCCUAUUAGUGGGGGACAACAUUCCGAAAGGAAUGCUAAUACCGCAUACGCCCUACGGGGGAAAGCAGGGGAUCUUCGGACCUUGCGCUAAUAGAUGAGCCUAAGUCAGAUUAGCUAGUUGGUGGGGUAAAGGCCUACCAAGGCGACGAUCUGUAGCGGGUCUGAGAGGAUGAUCCGCCACACUGGGACUGAGACACGGCCCAGACUCCUACGGGAGGCAGCAGUGGGGAAUAUUGGACAAUGGGCGAAAGCCUGAUCCAGCCAUGCCGCGUGUGUGAAGAAGGCCUUUUGGUUGUAAAGCACUUUAAGCGAGGAGGAGGCUACCGAGAUUAAUACUCUUGGAUAGUGGACGUUACUCGCAGAAUAAGCACCGGCUAACUCUGUGCCAGCAGCCGCGGUAAUACAGAGGGUGCGAGCGUUAAUCGGAUUUACUGGGCGUAAAGCGUGCGUAGGCGGCUUUUUAAGUCGGAUGUGAAAUCCCUGAGCUUAACUUAGGAAUUGCAUUCGAUACUGGGAAGCUAGAGUAUGGGAGAGGAUGGUAGAAUUCCAGGUGUAGCGGUGAAAUGCGUAGAGAUCUGGAGGAAUACCGAUGGCGAAGGCAGCCAUCUGGCCUAAUACUGACGCUGAGGUACGAAAGCAUGGGGAGCAAACAGGAUUAGAUACCCUGGUAGUCCAUGCCGUAAACGAUGUCUACUAGCCGUUGGGGCCUUUGAGGCUUUAGUGGCGCAGCUAACGCGAUAAGUAGACCGCCUGGGGAGUACGGUCGCAAGACUAAAACUCAAAUGAAUUGACGGGGGCCCGCACAAGCGGUGGAGCAUGUGGUUUAAUUCGAUGCAACGCGAAAACCUUACCUGGUCUUGACAUAGUAAGAACUUUCCA
rnacentral:rRNA from 1 species